GGACUGCUGAGUCUGCUGCAGCUGCUUUUUCAUGCUCUGCUUUCAGGGAAGCAGAAACGCAGCCUCCACCUAAAACACCAGGAUCAGGACAUCAUCAUCUUCUCCCCAGCAACAUCUGGAAUAUUAACAGGCUGGAGUGGGGUUGGAGUUGCAUUGCCUGAACCAAUCUCUAGCAGGAGCCUCCCCUCACUGCUCCCAAGAAAGGAAAAGCAGCGGCGAACGCAAUGAACAACUUUCUGGAUCUGCAGGACUUCUGAUGAAAGAGCUAUUGACAUUUCCUCACCAGAGUGACACUGAGGACUGCAAGACACCUGAGCAGCCAGAUCACCCAGGGACAAUUUCUCUUCUAAACACUGAGGAUCAAGCCUACAGCAAAGAUUCCUGUGCACAUCCAGGCCUCUUUACCAGCAGGAUGGCCUCCCUGCCUUGGCAUUGCAGCCUACAGUGCACCAAGACCCAUCUAAAACAGCCGCAACUCAGCGUGAUGGUUGCCCACCUGGAGGCUUCAGCUUCAAGGAAGCAUUGAGUCAUAGAAUCAGAGAAUUGUUUCAGCUGGAAAAGACCUCUAAGGUCAUGGAGUCCAACCCUCAACCUAACAACACCAUGCUUAUUAAACCAUCUCCCAAAGUGUCAUGUCCACACAUUUCUUGGACACCUCCAGUGCUGGUGACUCCACCACCUCCCUGGGCAGCCUUUUCCAAUCCCUGUCAUUACAUUCAGUAAAGACAUUUUUCCUACUCCCCAACUAUCCUCCCCUGGCACAUUUCCUCUCAAUCUGUCACCUGAUCAUAGGCUCGCAGGAUGUCAGGGGUUGGAAAGGACCCAAAGAGAUCACUGACUCCAACCCCCCUGCCACAGCAGGACCAUACAAUUUAUCUCAGGUCACACAGGAACACAUCCAGACAGGCCUUGAAAGGCUUGAGAGGAGGCUCCACAACCUCUCUGGGGAGUCUGUUCCAGUGCUCUGGGACCCUUACAGGCAAGAAGUUCCCCCUUGUGUUGAGGUGGAACCUCCUGUGCUGCACUUUACACCCGCUGCUCCUUGGCCUAUCCCAGGCAGCAGUGAGCAGAGCUUGUCCCUCCUCUCCUGACAUCCCAGCCCUCAGAUAUUGAUAAACAUUGAUUAAAUCCCCUCUCAGUCUUCUCCAGACUAAACAGUCCCAGGUCCCUCAGCCUCUCCUCAUCAGGCAGUGCUCCAGUCCCCUAAUCAUCCUCAUAGCCCUCCCCUGGGCACUCUCCAGCAGAUCCCUGUCCCUCUUAAACCGGGGAGCCCCAAACUAAACCUGAUGCACUCACUUACACAAACUGUUCAGCAUCAGAGCAUCUCAUCUCUGUGCUCCCUCCACCUCUGUCAAGUACCUGCCCUUUCACUUCACCUACUCACCCAGCAACUGCUUUGUGCUGCUCAGUGCUAGGAGAAGAUGAAGCCACCUCUGCACUGAGCCAGCCCCUUUCAACAAGUGCAACUGGGAGGCAGAAGCAGCCCAUGAGUGCACUGGUGCAAACUUGCUGUGGCCCCAGCAGAGCUGCAAGAGCUCACGUCACCUCUCCAGGAACUUGUUUGUAUUCUUGGGAGUAUGUUGAAAAAUAUCUCUGACCCCCAAACAUUUACCUUUUGAUCGGGGGUUUCCAAUGUUGCUGUAGUGUAUUAAAGCUGAGAUGCUCAUAAAAAA